rnacentral:rRNA from 1 species
UUGAACGCUGGCGGCAGGCCUAACACAUGCAAGUCGAACGGUAACAGGAAGCAGCUUGCUGCUUUGCUGACGAGUGGCGGACGGGUGAGUAAUGUCUGGGAAACUGCCUGAUGGAGGGGGAUAACUACUGGAAACGGUAGCUAAUACCGCAUAACGUCGCAAGACCAAAGAGGGGGACCUUAGGGCCUCUUGCCAUCGGAUGUGCCCAGAUGGGAUUAGCUAGUAGGUGGGGUAACGGCUCACCUAGGCGACGAUCCCUAGCUGGUCUGAGAGGAUGACCAGCCACACUGGAACUGAGACACGGUCCAGACUCCUACGGGAGGCAGCAGUGGGGAAUAUUGCACAAUGGGCGCAAGCCUGAUGCAGCCAUGCCGCGUGUAUGAAGAAGGCCUUCGGGUUGUAAAGUACUUUCAGCGGGGAGGAAGGGAGUAAAGUUAAUACCUUCGCUCAUUGACGUUACCCGCAGAAGAAGCACCGGCUAACUCCGUG